rnacentral:lncRNA from 1 species
UUGAUCCAAAAAUAAUUACUCAAUCAAAUUGAGUGAAUUAAUGAUCAAAUCACUAAUUAAAUCUCUCAUAAAUACUGAGUCCAAAUUCGAUGGGCAAUCGGGUAUCAAAGUCCAUCGAUAUGAAACCUUGAUCGAAGAGUCCCAAACCAGUGGGACUCUUGACCCCGAUACCCAAAAUGUGUGGGACUCAUGAUCAGAGAAUCUUGAUUCUCGAUCACAGAGUCCCGAACAUGUAAGACUCAUAGUCCACGAGCAUUAGGACUCUUUAUCAGCCAUCAGAUUAAAUAGGAACCUCUAAUGUGAGUGACCCCGC